AAAAAAAAAAGAAGAAGAAGAAGAAAAAGAAAAAAAAGCCACCUU
rnacentral:ribozyme from 14 species